rnacentral:rRNA from 1 species
UACAGAGGUCUCAAGCGUUGUUCGGAUUCAUUGGGCGUAAAGGGUGUGUAGGUGGCGCGCUAAGUCGGGUGUGAAAUUUCGGAGCUUAACUCUGAAACUGCAUUCGAUACUGGCGUGCUUGAGGACUGGAGAGGAGACUGGAAUUCAUGGUGUAGCAGUGAAAUGCGUAGAGAUCAUGAGGAAGACCAGUGGCGAAGGCGGGUCUCUGGACAGUUCCUGACGCUGAGGCACGAAGGCCAGGGGAGCAAACGGG